AAAGAGAUAAAAAGUCAAAAUCUAUGUGUGAAUCAUCAUGCCAUCCGGCAUAGAUUAGAUCCGUUUAUUGAAUCGAACAGCUUGGUUAUGUUGGGCAGCCGGGGAGCAGGCUAGUCAAAUAUUUGAGGUGAGGUAGCAAUAGCAUAGCACCUGCCUGGUCUUCAACUGAGAAACACUGGCUCCGAGGCUACUGGAAGGAAAAGGAAUAUAAAGGAGAAGGAGAACGAAUCCCUUCUUCUUCACAAUCCCUUUUCACUUUCCAAUGAAGAAGAAGAAGAAGAAACGACAGCACCACCUUCAACCUCAUCAUCCAACGCACCACCACCAGCUCAACGCCUCCUUUCUCUCGAAGUUUUUCGUGGCCUUGCCAUCGCCGUAAUCAAGAUCAAUUUCUUCACAAGUUAUUUUUCCCCUUACAGCCCAUGAUUUUAGUUGAUGAUGCUGGAGGAGCUUUUCCUUGUAUCAAUCACUCUCCGUGGUUUGGCGUGACGCUUUCUGAUUUUGUGAUGCCCUUUUUCCUCUUUGUUGUUGGUCUCUCUAUCAGUUUAGUUUUUAAGAGUCAUAAUUAAACGACAAUAAGUUCAAGUCUCUUUAACUCAAGGCAGUUGAGGAGAUACGAAGUCCUAAUAGGGCUCAAGCAAAAUUUAGACCGAAGGUUCAAAACUCAUUUAACAAGCUUUUCUGUCUGCGUCAGACUGCCAUCUUUCUCCAUUUUGAAGUCUAGGAAGAAACUGGACUAGAGGAACAUUUUCUGUGGUGAUUUCUUGUACUAUAAUCAUGAUGUUGGAUUCAAGAAUAACAUGAUGUUAUAAGAAUUUUACUUCUUCCAUUUUGGCAUCUGCAAGGGCUUUGUACUUUGAAGCUUGCUCCCAUCACCAGGUCCAGUCAUUUUAGCUCGCAAAAGUCAAAAGGAAAUACAAGUGACUCCCAUUGUGUCAAAGUACAUCCCUAUUGGAUCAAAACUCAAGGGCAGAAAAAAAAAGGGUUUAGCUUAUUGCUCAACCAUAAACUGAAUGCUGGAUUAGAUGUUUUAUACAUAUUGGUGGCAAAGAUGGUCGCUUUCUGGCUGUAUGGCCUUUAUGAUCCAGACUGGGAAUUUGAAGUUCCAAGCACACAUCUGUUUGGUUACAAAUCUGCUUUGUUAGUGGGCCAUUCUUCACCGGAAGCAUGUUUUCUGUUGAUUUAUCAACCAUUUUCUGCUCAAACAAUGUGAAUUGUGGAGUGAAGGGAAGUCUUGAACCUCCUUGUAAUGCAGCUGGCCUGAUUGAUCGAUUUUUUCUUGGUGAGCAUCCUCUAUAUCAGCACCCUGUGUAUAGAAGAACAAUGGUGAUGUUCUGAGGAACUCACAUAACAAUUACAUUGUUUUCAUAGCAAUGUAGUGUUAAUUCUCCUGACUAUACCUCUAGUACCAGAUUCACCUGGUUGGUUCCUUGCUCCAUUUGACUCCAAGGGCAUCUUGAGGUCAGAUAAACUGCAAUGCUUUCUCUUGCUCCAUAUUCUUAUGAAUCACCAGAUUAUUUUCUCCAUUAUAAUAACAUACAUUAAAGCCAAGUGCCUAUUUCAGAUGCUUUCACUGUACUAAUGUGUAGUGAUACAGCUCUUAGCAUGUCAGCAAAUAAUCAGCUCCUUUUUUUUUUCCCAGUUUUGAAAAACUUUACAUGGGUUCCUUGUUUUUUGCCAAUUAUAAUUUAGGUUUCCCAAAUUUAAUAAUUUAUCAAUGAGGUCCCUUAAGUAUCACAUAUAUUUCAAUGGAGUCCGGUCAUCAACUUUGGUUAAUAUUUUAUAUCAUUUUAUGCACUAAAACAAGACUGGAUUGAUGAGAAUUUGACAUUUUUAGAUGAAAGACCUAAUUGAAAAAUGUGUUGACACUCAAAAAAUGAAACUGAUAAAUAGAUAGAUUUAGAUGAAUUUAAGAAUUAGUUAUUAUGUUAGGAAAGAAAAUUAAAUGCUCUGAUGUUUAUCAACCACAUGGAGGACAAAUAGAUUAUACUAAUAUAUUAAAAUAUAGAAAUAUCCAUAGCAACUUGAGGGUGUCAUUCUAAUUGAUUGCAAAAUUAUCUGCUGAAAUAGCGUUUCAUUUACAUAAUCUUUUGACACCAAAAAAAAGAAGAAGCUUUUGUGUCAAUGACAAACUUUAGUGUUGAUUUCUUUUCUUAACAAUCUUUUCAGUUUCUUGAUGGCUUCUAUAACAUGUUUUCUUGGAUUGCAGUUUGGUCAUAUACUUGUUCAUUUUAAGGGCCACAUGCAGAGGCUGUAUUUGUCGUGUUCUUUCACUGUACAUUACUGGAUAUGUGUUAAAACUUCUUGGUAGAUUUCCUAUUUUAAAUAUUCAUUUAACAUCAAUGAUUUCUACCAGGAUCCUCUCUUUUUCCGUUAAGUAAUAUUUGGGAAUAUUUCAGGUGUUCCUUUUUAUAAACCAUUAUAUAUGUUGAGCUAUGUGCGCAUUACAGCGGAAGCAUCAGGCUUGGCUUUAAUGAUUAUCUUUUACAUAUGGAGAGAUUUUGAAAAGAUCGAGAGACUAAAGGAGAUUGGCAUGAAAGAAUCAUUUCAAUUCAACCAUAUUUUAUGCAGGCUGAUGUCUAACAUUUUAGAAAACCCUCAAUGGUACUUCAGUGGAUGGGAAUGAAUGCACUCAUCAUUUAUGCAUUGGCUGCAUGUGACCUUUUCACAGCAGCCAUUCAAGGUUUCAUUUGGGGUUCACCGGAAAACAACUUGGUAUGACUGUUUCCUACUUGGCUGCUAGUCCUGUUCUGAGUUAUUCCUUCUCCACCCAAUCUCUCCCCCAAAUAAAUAUUUGUUAGUGUAAUGGCUGGCAUUCUGCUUAUUGGUGCAAGUUUCUGCACUAUGUGAACACAUGCAGAGGCGUAUGCUCGCAUGCACACACUGAUAGAGGAUGAUCCACCUACAUGUUUAAAAAUAUUAUUAUUAGACAAUCUUUCAACCAUUGAUUUUCUUCAGUCGAAUGGCUGAUACAAUGUCAUACCUCAUAUACAAUUACUGCUUACAACUAAAUAUGACAUGCAGGUUACUGUUAAAACAUACUACUAUAUUAGAACAUACCACAGUUACCGUUGCUUCUCACUAUUUCAUUCUUCCUCUUCAGAUCUAUAGUUUGCUGAGCCUAUAGUCAGUGUUCUGAAUGUUUUGGUGCUUACAACUAAAUAUGACAUUGAUGGCACAUAAUCGCUGUUGCAAGCCAUGUUCCAUUCAAAGAAGUGGAGCACCUUGGUUUUUGUACCAGUGGUGAUUUUAUUUUGAAGGGCAUGUAUGCGAGACUGCAUAGUAUAGUAGAUACUGCUUGUUCCCUGUGAAAGACUUGUACGUUGUUAUUCCUGCAACAGUGUCUUUUAAACGAUGAUCAAGAGUCAGGAUCAAUUUAGUCUUGAGAUUAUUUGCGUCAUCGUUCCACUUUAAUUCCUAGUUGCAACAUAAAGACGUAAAAUUAAAGAAAAAGGAAAAAAGAAGAUCAUCACUCAAAGGUGUUCCGGAUAGGGAAAAAGGCAUUGGAUUGUUUCAACCUUACUCAUUCCUUAGAGCUGGAAAAAAAAGAUAAGGUAAAAUACGAAGGCAAGCCUUGUUCGGUGGCUUUGCUGUAUUCACAAGGGGCGGCAGAGAAUCAACACUGGCCCAAAAGUGUUAGCUUUGACUAGUGAUUAAUCAUAGCAAAUUGCCAAGCGUGUAUUGAUAUUUAUCUAACCUCCACCUGCAGGAGGAUUUCGAGUUCCUAGUCAUGAAAAAUAUUAUUGCGAGGUGCCUUCUUGUCUUCGCCAAAAAGGCAAGCGAGAGGCAGCCACAAUAAUGCCAUAAUGGUUGAUUGUGCAGAUCACAGAUUGACGGUUUUGUUUCUUCCUUUUCAAGAUAAGUAUCACUUCUUCUUUGCUAAAAGAGUUCUGCCAUGGAUUUAUCUUUCGGCCAUAAAAAACUUUGCCAGCUUCAGAUUCCACCAGGCAAGAUCACAAAAAGUUUUAUGCUCACUUCUAACCCUUUCUUUUCUAACUCGUAUAUAAUCACUCGCCUUGUAUUCCACACACCUUGUAGAGCCUACAGCCUCGCGAAACUCCUUCCCACUAUUCAGGGAAGCGAUUAGACGAGAGAGAGAGAGAGCGAGAGGGAUGGCAACUGAAAAGGCAGAUGUUGAGGUUUCUGACACCAACAACGACGGCAUCCAGAAUACCUCAACGCACACCUCAGUUAACAGCGAGACACCGACAUCAGCUGUCCCGCGCUUUGGAAAAGCGCUUGCACACAGAGCCCUCUAUGGUUCAAGCAGCCGCCAUGGUGGAAGUCGAAAGGCCAGAUCCAGUGAUGUGAAAACAUUACCGAGUAGGCUAAGCAAGGUCUCACUAGCUGAUGACACGGAAAAUAGGGAAUGAGUGCUUUACUGUACUGAUCCUGUGCUAAAUUUCUGUGUGUAAUGGGAUAUUGUAGAAUUCGUAACAUUCUAAACCAAUGUACAACUCUGAUGCUUAAUAGAUAUCAGUAGAUAAAUAUUAGUUUC